AUGGCGGAAAAGAAGGUCGUGCUGAAGCUGGACCUGCACGACGACAAGCAGAAGCAGAGGGCUCUCAAGGUCGUCUCCACUCUCCACGGCAUCGACCAGAUCGCCGUGGACAUGAAGGACCAGAAGAUGACGGUGGUGGGCACCGUCGACCCCGUGGACCUCGUCGGCAGGCUGCGCAGCAAGCUCUUCCCCACGGCGCAGAUGCUCUCCGUCGGCCCGGCCAAGGAGGAGAAGAAGGACGGCGGCGCCAAGAAGGACGACGGCAAGAAGGAUGGCGACAAGAAGGAGCCGAUCCCGGUGUACACGCCGUGGUACCCGCCGCCGCCGCCGCUGUACCACCCGCACCCGUACUACCACAACCACAGCGCCGAGGAGGACCCCAGCUCCUGCGUCAUCUGCUGA
rnacentral:rRNA from 1 species